AGUGAACGCUGGCGGUAGGCCUAACACAUGCAAGUCGAACGGCAGCACAGUAAGAGCUUGCUCUUACGGGUGGCGAGUGGCGGACGGGUGAGGAAUACAUCGGAAUCUACUUUUUCGUGGGGGAUAACGUAGGGAAACUUACGCUAAUACCGCAUACGACCUACGGGUGAAAGCAGGGGAUCUUCGGACCUUGCGCGGUUGAAUGAGCCGAUGUCGGAUUAGCUAGUUGGCGGGGUAAAGGCCCACCAAGGCGACGAUCCGUAGCUGGUCUGAGAGGAGGAUCAGCCACACUGGAACUGAGACACGGUCCAGACUCCUACGGGAGGCAGCAGUGGGGAAUAUUGGACAAAGGGCGCAAGCCUGAUCCAGCCAUACCGCGUGGGUGAAGAAGGCCUUCGGGUUGUAAAGCCCUUUUGUUGGGAAAGAAAAGCAGCAGGUUAAUACCCCGCUGUUCUGACGGUACCCAAAGAAUAAGCACCGGCUAACUUCGUG
rnacentral:rRNA from 1 species